rnacentral:rRNA from 1 species
AGACAGCAGUAGCCGCGGUAAAACGAAGGGGGCUAGCGUUGUUCGGAAUUACUGGGCGUAAAGCGCACGUAGGCGGAUACUUAAGUCAGGGGUGAAAUCCCGGGGCUCAACCCCGGAACUGCCUUUGAUACUGGGUAUCUCGAGUCCGGAAGAGGUGAGUGGAAUUCCGAGUGUAGAGGCGAAAUUCGUAGAUAUUCGGAGGAACACCAGUGGCGAAGGCGGCUCACUGGUCCGGUACUGACGCUGAGGUGCGAAAGCGUGGGGAGCAAACAGGAUUAGAUACCCCUGUAGUCCCUGUCUCUUAUAC